ensembl:lncRNA
GCUCUGUGGGGAGGCACAGCUCUGAAUCGCUCCAAGCCAUAGGGGAGGGUGGAAGAAGAAUGGACAGCUGAAUCAGCUAUGAGAUCAGUGACUCAACGGCAAGAAAAUUAUGCUAGCAGGUUGCAUUGUGGAGCCAUUUCAAGAUAGCCAAGCAGAUUUUCUUCCAGCCAGAACUAAAUCAGAAGAUGCAGGCCUGCCUCCCUUCAAAUGCUAUCAGGUGCUUUGAGAGACUGACGCCAGUGGGCUGAGGCUGAGGAAGGGAUUUUUGAGGGAACAGUGAAAACUUCUGAGCAUUUUACAAAUCUUCUUGCUCAGUGCACUGAUACAGCCAUUGAUACAACACUGCCAGUCUGCCACAACAUUCAGUCCCAGCGCUUGUGUAAUACGACCUUCAGAGCUCUCCUGACUAAAUACUUUCCAGAACACAGCGACUUACCACGCUUUGUUUGUUGUCAAAUGCACGUGUUGUUUAUACCAAAACGCAGUACCUUUAUGAGAUCAGCUUAUCAUUUACUUCCCAAAUCUGUUCAGACAUAUAACACAGUUCAAAUACUGCUGCCCAGUAGAUGGCUGCUUCUCAUUGUCCAUUACUUUUUGAGGUAUGUCAGCUAAAUGGCCCUAAUCCAUGUAAUGUAUGCUGCAUUGAUAGUGUUUCAUCACAGUAAUGAUGUACUAAAAAGCACAGACCAAGACAAGUGCCUUGCAAACUACUGGGGCUAAUUAAAACAUUUGUAGCUCUGGAAAAAUAAACUUUUACUACUUAGUUUAAAUUCUGAAUUGAUCAGGGUACAGACAGCUACUCUGAUACAAGGAAAACAUCAUUAUUUUUAAUACAGAAGGCAAACAUAGGAAAUGCUUUAUUUUCCAGCAUCACGCUGCGCUAUGGUUUCCAUCAGUAAUGGGCCUAUGCUGGUAGCAGGGAACCUUGAUACAAGUGGACUAGAAGACACGUCAGUCAAUCACAGUGCUCUUUACACAGCAAAAAGACACAUCACUGCUGACAGAGCUUCAUGUUAGCGCUCCUUCUGUUAGCCUGUCUGUUAUGUUGCCCUCCCAAAGCAGGUCUCCAGCUGACAUCAGAACUGGCUCUUCUGAGAAAGUGGACAAGUGUUUGGAACUAGAGAAACCAUCCAUACCUUGGCACCCUUCUUAAUAACCUAUAUUAAGUUUCCAGACCCUCUCCUCUCCUCUCUCCAUCAUUGGCACCAGUGUGCACAACUGAAGACUUUCCAGGCUCAGCAUUGUAUAGCUGACAUAAUCCCACCUGCUGAGUAAAUUACUUCAUUCUCUAAAUCUCAACAUCACCAUACACACAUUCUGAUAGUGGAAUAAGUUAAUCCCACAGCCUUCUCGACACCCCAGUGAAUAAAAGUAAAGCAGAGGAGAUGGCCCUUCUCCUCGGGCGCUGCUGAGAGCCUGAUUUUGGGGAAGGCAGCUCCCGAGGCUCUGCAAGCCGAUCUGUUCACCUAUAGGCACCACCGCUCGUUCUGCAGUCCCUCGGGACGCUCCUCCGCCUCGGCCCGCAGCGCAGCAGAGCGCUGGUCGCGCUGCCUCCUGCCGGCCCUUCG